CUCACUCAUCCACUCGCUAUAGUCCAACUCUCUGUUGCGGCCUUUUCAAGCAUUGAGUGCCUUUUCGAGCAUUUUGUAUAUAUACAUCAAUCCUCAGACACCACGAUCACAUUCAUACAUUUUCCUUACCAUUGAGCGAGCUGAGUGCUUUUUAGGUGGCAGUAUUGGUCAGUGUAACGAUGGCAGCAAUACUGAUUGGAUAGUGACAAAUUAAAGAUGAAAGUUUUUAGGCACACACUAGCCUAGAACCAAUGGCACGCUAUGUGCGUCUGGAAUACUCACUCUUAAGCGUUGAAUUAACAAAUUAAAGAGGAAACGUUUCGAGCGCAUAUUGGCGUGGCACCAAUGAUAACAUAACCAUGUGACAGUGGUGCCACGCUGUAUGCGUUUGAAAUACUCACUCUUAAAUGAAUGUACAAAUUACAAAUCACAAUGAAAGAAAGAGAAAGUAAGUGCGUCUUUUAAGGUAUGUUCUACUGUUAUUCACUAAUAUUUUUUUUUAAUAUUACUUGAUGGUUGCUUUUGAUUUUUUUUUCCAGGUAAGUAGUUGAAUGAAGUCUAGUGCAACACUCUUUGGACUUUGAUAUUAAUGCUCCCAUUACACAAUUAUUGCCAAUUUCUAUAUUAAUUUACAUUUUUUUUUCAGGUGGAAAAAGGUCAUUUACUAUAAAAUUUUAUUUUGCAAUGGCUAAGAGGGAAAUAAGAGAAAAGAAGUUACAAUAAAUGUUCUAGUAUGUUUAAAAAGUCUAAAAUUUAUGAGGCCUCCAAUCCCACUUAACCUCUGAUUAGGCAAAACCCAAACUAAUUAAGUGUGCCAUUCUUAGUGUAAAGUAAGCUUAAGCUGAAUAUUGUGCAAAAGAAGAACCAGGUAAAGACGGGUUCAGAGAUGAAAGAGGGAUGUGGAUGCUUCUCAUAGCCUCAUGAAUCAUCUUCGCGAAAGGUUGGCAGACUUGGAGAUUAAAGCAGAGUGCUGGAAAGUAGUAAAUCUAAUCCAAAAGGCUUAAUUAGCACUAUCCAUUUCAAGCUUUAAUUGAGGAUGCUAGAUUUUUGCUUGGAGGAAUGGGAUGUUUCAUCAAACACAUCCAUUACAAAGAGAACAAUCUCGUAGAUGUUGUUGCAAACACAAGAGUGGAACAAGAUGAAAACUAUUUUGGUAUUUGAAUGCCUAACAGAGGCAAAUAGGUGUAUGUUUAUUGCUGAUAUAAUUGGAACCGUGCAUAAGAGGGCCUUCUAACCCUAUCUGUUGUUUGUUUAUCUUCUUUUGUCUUCUUGUUUCUUUUUCA